rnacentral:tRNA from 1 species
GCCCGGGUAGCUCAGUGGUAGAGCAGAGGAUUGAAAAUCCUCGUGUCGGUGGUUCAAUUCCGCCCCCGGGCACCA